UCCCAGAGUUCAACUACUCUGCUCUCCCACAUAAAGAGUUAUCAGAGAUCUUCUAACACCCUUUGAUGGUACAGAUGACCCUUGAUGAGGGCAAGCACUUUUGCGUGAUGAGAAGAGAUAGCCUGAGGAACUCCAGUAUGAGCUCCGGACUAAAAUAAAGUUUCAGAAGUUCAUUUCAGAUACAAUAAAAGCUUUGCAUGAAUGCCCUGCAGAAGAAUAUCUGAAUAACAUGGACGUCCUAUUCAAGCCCUAAUCAACUUAAAUUCUGUAAUUACUUCUGCACUCAGCCUACACCACAGCAGGGCACACAUGUUAGGAGUGAACAGAUGACAGAAGCAGAGAACAGAAAAGUAGUUUUGCUCUCACCUUGAAUUUCUGAGGCUGAAGUUAAGAACUGAUGUGAGCUCUACCUGUGUCUAUGGUAAGAAGAAUCUGAAGCAUGUGUGCCAUGGUGAUCAAAUGGAAGAGAUACAGGUGGUUAUACGAGGAACUGAUUGAUGAAGGCUGCAGAUCAACAGUGUCGUCCCAAUACAAGGAUGGGAAUGCUAACACAGCACCAACCUGUAAGAGGAAACAGACAUCAACAGGAGUGACAACAAAGACCAGUUUGAGCUAAUCUCA